GCGCCUGUGGUGUAAGGCGUACAUCACUGCCCGAAUAAGCAGAAAAUGCGAGUUCGAGUCCCGCCUGGCGCA
rnacentral:tRNA from 1 species